GGAGAGGUGGCUGAGUGGUUUAAGGCACCCGCUUGGAAAGCGGACGUAGGGCAACUUACCGGGGGUUCGAAUCCCCCCCUCUCCG
rnacentral:tRNA from 1 species